rnacentral:piRNA from 4 species
AGCUGCCUUCCAAGCAGUUGACCCGG